rnacentral:lncRNA from 10 species
GCGCAGCCCGGGUUCCCGCCCGUUCCUCUCUCUCCACACCUGCCCGCAAGCUGAAGGAGCCAGCUCCAGUCUCAGCCAGCCCAGGAAGCGGCUCCCACAGUGCAGCGGCGGGCUGAAGCGCUCCUCAAGUGCCGCCAAAGUGGGAGCCCAGGCAGAGGAGGCGCCGAGAGCGGGCGAGGGCCGCAAGGGCUGCCAGCAUGCUGUCAUCUCUCAAGAGCUCCCUCAGAGGCCUAUGUAAGAUCAAAGAAGUAGAUCUAACCAGAAACAGAAUAAACCCAAAGCAUUUCAAUUUCAAAACAUCAAAAUUAAAUAUCUGAAAGCUAAGACAAAGGCAAAAGAAGUCUCUAAAGCUGUCAGAAACAGUGCAUUGCAUCUGGAUGAAUAACAGUUUGGAUUAUAGUGGAUUUAUCACUAAUUCAUACAGGCUGGACAGGAGUGGGAAAAUGUUUUUAGAAUACUGAAAGAAAAAAGUCUUGUAAUACAAAAAAUGUAUAUCUACUGAAAAUAUUCUUAAGAAAUA